UUUAAAUCUGAAUGUCAUAAAGCCAUAGGGGUUGGUUUCUAUCAUUCAACUGGCAAGCAGCCUUUGGAGUAUCAUCAUUGGCAGCUGCCUGGCCACUCCUUAGCAACCAAACAGAGUACCCUAGCAACCGUUUUUCAAGAUCUAUAUCUCUGCAUCAGAACAUCGUACAGACAUGGGGGUUGGUUUACAUUGGCAAGCAGCCUUUGGAGUAUCAUCACUGGCAGCUGUCAGGCCACUCCCUAGCAACCAAACACAGUACCCUAGCAACCAUUUAGUAAGUCUUAUAUCUUUACAACCGAAAUUUGUAUCGACAUGGGACUUGGUUCUUUUGACCCAUGCUAGUAAACAUGAAUUCCAACAUGCUAGUAAUGCUAGCAGUGAACAGCUACAUGCUAAUAGUGAUUAGCUAAGAGAUAAAUCAG
ensembl:lncRNA